rnacentral:miRNA from 1 species
UCAUUCUCGCUGCUCUGGAGU